CAGUGAGCCAAGUUAAGCAAGAGUAAGUCCUUGAGCCUUGAGAAAAAGUGAAAAUGGAGAGAAGUGGGUGGAUUUUAGAUGUAUUUUGGACAUUAAAUCAACAGGACGUGGUGGUGAUAGAUUGCAUAGAAGAUGAGAACCUAAGGGGUACCCAGAGAGACUCCUUGACAUCCAGUUUGGGCAACUAAGUUGAUAGCUAACGAAUUUACUAAAAAGGAAAGAUUGAGGAACAGCCGUUUUGGAGGUAUAUGAAAAUUAAGAAUUCAGUUGCAGUUGAGAAAUCAGGGUGCAUGAGAAACAUGUAAGUGGAAAUGUCAGACAGACAGCCUUAAACUCAAAAGGGGCAUAUGGAAGAAACAGUGACGUGAAUUUGGGAGUGGACAGCAGGAUAAUGGAUAGAGAGAACAGACUAAGAGAGUCUAAACUGAAUUCCAGCAGAAAGACAUGGGGCCACUCCAGCAAGAAAAGACAUUUGGU
rnacentral:lncRNA from 1 species